rnacentral:tRNA from 1 species
GCUGGUAUGGCUCAGUCGGUAGAGCAGCUGAUUCGUAAUCAGCAGGCCGCCGGUUCAAAUCCGGCUACCAGCUCCA